rnacentral:rRNA from 1 species
UACGUAGGGGGCAAGCGUUGUCUGGAUUUAUUGGGCGUAAAGAGCGUGUAGGCGGCCAGAUAGGUCCGUUGUGAAAACUCGAGGCUCAACCUCGAGACGUCGACGGAAACCAUCUGGCUAGAGUCCGGAAGAGGAGAGUGGAAUUCCUGGUGUAGCGGUGAAAUGCGCAGAUAUCAGGAAGAACACCCGUGGCGAAGGCGGCUCUCUGGGACGGUACUGACGCUGAGACGCGAAAGCGUGGGGAGCAAACAGG